AUGCACGCUGGCGGCGUGCCUAAUCCCUGCAAGUCGAGCGCACAGACGAGGAGCUUGCUCCUCUGACGUUAGCGGCGGACGGGUGAGUAACACGUGGAUAACCUACCUAUAAGACUGGGAUAACUUCGGGAAACCGGAGCUAAUACCGGAUAAUAUAUUGAACCGCAUGGUUCAAUAGUGAAAGACGGUUUUGCUGUCACUUAUAGAUGGAUCCGCGCCGCAUUAGCUAGUUGGUAAGGUAACGGCUUACCAAGGCAACGAUGCGUAGCCGACCUGAGAGGGUGAUCGGCCACACUGGAACUGAGACACGGUCCAGACUCCUACGGGAGGCAGCAGUAGGGAAUCUUCCGCAAUGGGCGAAAGCCUGACGGAGCAACGCCGCGUGAGUGAUGAAGGUCUUCGGAUCGUAAAACUCUGUUAUUAGGGAAGAACAAAUGUGUAAGUAACUAUGCACGUCUUGACGGUACCUAAUCAGAAAGCCACGGCUAACUACGUG
rnacentral:rRNA from 1 species